rnacentral:rRNA from 1 species
UACGAAGGGGGCUAGCGUUGCUCGGAAUCGCUGGGCGUAAAGCGCACGUAGGCGGCUUGUUAAGUCAGGGGUGAAAUCCUGGAGCUCAACUCCAGAACUGCCUUUGAUACUGGCGAGCUUGAGUUCGGGAGAGGUGAGUGGAACUGCGAGUGUAGAGGUGAAAUUCGUAGAUAUUCGCAAGAACACCAGUGGCGAAGGCGGCUCACUGGCCCGAUACUGACGCUGAGGCACGAAAGCGUGGGGAGCAAACAGG